GCCUAGUGGUUAAAGCGUUCGCUCGUCACGCGGAAGACCCGGCGUGCUGGUACCUCGUUUGUCUGAUGCACUGGACAGCCUUGUGUGGAUUCUCCAUUGUACUCCGUGGAAGAUUCAGCUACAGGCAGUGAAAACCACUGUAUAAUUCAUAUAACAAUGAGCUGUGAAAAUACACAUUGAUGAAAGUGUAGGUGAAUAAUAAACUGGUUUUGUUAA